UAUACAUCAGUACGUCUUUAGCACGGGUAGCGCUAUACAGUCAGCGAGCAGAGAAGCCCGUUUAGUAUUCCGAGCACAGGGGAAGAGAGGGAGGGAGGGGAGAGUGAAAUACAAAGACAAAAACAGGGUGAGAAGACAGAAAACACAUUCCAAGACAAGAAAAUAGGAAAGGAUGAGAGGGGAGCGGAGAGAUACCAUAUUGUUCAUUUCUCCCUCUCAGUCUAUCCCUCCGCCUUAUUCUUCCAUCCCAGGUUCGGCUACUCACCAUAUUAUCCUGUGUGAUCUUGUGUCACGUGAUGUUGGAGCCAUUUAUAAGACAUUCUAUGAAUCUAGGUUGGAGGAAAACCAGGAAAACUACUGCAUUCCAUUGAAUCUGCUUGGAACUACAUUACCCAGAGCUGAACCGUGCUCUAAAUGCUGUUAGAGCUAUCCCUAUCUCUGUGACAGAAGAAGAAGAACACAAACUAGUAUAAGGUUAUGAAUUUGUUGGAAGCAUAACCAAGUGUUGUUCAGCUGUAUCUUGGUGGAGACGACAUUUCAAACACGACAGGGACUCCUAGGCUUUACAAACCACUCUAAUACAGGAAAAGACAAAGGGGUGGGUUUGGCUCACACAUUUAUGGGCGUGUCAGUCAUGGAGGGUCUCUGCUAGACUCCGCCUAAGUAGACAGCACCUGACAGAGCCCCUCCCCUUAUUCCUGGAUUGGUCCAAUCUCCCCCGGGCCCACCCAUUUCUCCAGACCCUCCAAGGAACGUGGCCGGAUCGAACCUCUUCUCACCCAGGUGCCGUCCGUUUGGUGAGGGCGGCGAGGGCUGUGCUGUGAUUGGUUGACUGCGGGUGGGAGUGCAAUGCGGAUUGGAAGAUGUCGGGGGACUGGGAUGAAGACCACCUGUGUAAGAAGGCACUCACUCUGGUGGAGGAGUUGUGCUUACACUCCUCAGCGAAGGACAGCCAUGAAGCCAGCUGCCGAGACUUUGUCUACAUGAUGAGGGGACAGCAGCACGAAACAGAGAUCUCUGUCAGCCUGUUGUCGGUGAUCGUGACGUUCUGCGGGAUCGUCCUUCUCUCAGUCUCUCUCUUUGUCUCCUGGAAGCUCUGUUGGUUGCCAUGGCGAGACAAGGAGGGUGGGGGCCUGAGCUUGACAUCGGGGCUGA